GAUGAACGCUAGCGGCAGGCUUAACACAUGCAAGUCGAGGGGUAUUGGUUUUCGGACCAAGAGACCGGCGCACGGGUGCGUAACGCGUAUGCAAUCUACCUUUUGCAGAGGGAUAGCCCAGAGAAAUUUGGAUUAAUACCUCAUAGUAUAGUACCUUGGCAUCAGGGAACUAUUAAAGUCACAACGGCAAAAGAUGAGCAUGCGUCCCAUUAGCUAGUUGGUAAGGUAACGGCUUACCAAGGCUACGAUGGGUAGGGGUCCUGAGAGGGAGAUCCCCCACACUGGUACUGAGACACGGACCAGACUCCUACGGGAGGCAGCAGUGAGGAAUAUUGGACAAUGGGCGCAAGCCUGAUCCAGCCAUGCCGCGUGCAGGAUGACGGUCCUAUGGAUUGUAAACUGCUUUUAUACAGGAAGAAACACUGGUUCGUGAACCAGCUUGACGGUACUGUAAGAAUAAGGAUCGGCUAACUCCGUGCCAGCAGCCGCGG
rnacentral:rRNA from 1 species